CACGUAGGGACCAAGCGUUUUCCGGAUUUAUUGGGCGUAAAGAGCUCGUAGGCGGUUCGGUAAGUCGGGUGUGAAAACUCUGGGCUCAACCCGGAGAGGCCACCCGAUACUGCCGUGACUUGAGUCCGGUAGGGGAGCACGGAAUUCCUGGUGUAGCGGUGAAAUGCGCAGAUAUCAGGAGGAACACCGGUGGCGAAGGCGGUGCUCUGGGCCGGUACUGACGCUGAGGAGCGAAAGCGUGGGUAGCAAACAGG
rnacentral:rRNA from 1 species